UGCUCUCAAAAACGGUCUGUAACUCCCACCAUUGGAACAAUGGAGAAGAAACAUGGCGUCCUCUUCACUAAACUCACAAACCUGCCCAUUCUUUUUACUCUCUUAAUGAUGAUGAUGUUCUAUGGAUUUAGCCACGGCUCUCGUGUUGACCAAGCAGGUCGACUGAGGGCCGUGCGGCGUGCUAAAAGGCACGCUCGGAGUUUCUCCAACGACGACCAAGAAUGGACGAUGUCGAAUUUGGAUGGUGGUGAACAACUUUCUUUUGAUGGUGGAAAAAUGGAAGAUGAUCUCAUUGCAGGUGGGCUUCCAGGGCAGCCAUCAGGGGUGAGGUUCAAGCAGUAUGGAGGGUAUGUGGAUGUGGAUGAAUCAAAUGGGCGAAGCCUUUUCUAUUAUUUUGCUGAGGCUGUCAAAGAUCCUUCUUCUAAGCCCCUGGUUCUCUGGCUAAAUGGAGGACCAGGUUGUUCAUCACUUGGAAUGGGUGCUAUGGUAGAGAUUGGACCUUUCGGUGUAAACUCAGAUGGAAAAUCGCUUUAUUCGCGACGACAUGCUUGGAACAGAGUUGCAAACGUGCUGUUUCUAGAGUCACCAGCAGGAGUUGGAUUCUCCUACUCCAACACUUCCUCUGAUUACAGCACCUCAGGGGACAAAAGGACUGCUAUAGACACAUACAACUUUCUGAUCAACUGGUUCAGAAGAUUUCCACAUUAUAAGGCUUCAGACUUCUACAUAGUAGGGGAAAGCUAUGCAGGAUUUUACAUUCCAGAGCUGGCAGAUAUCAUUAUCAACAGAAGCAGAGAGGCAGACUCCACCUCAAAAAUCCAACUAAAAAGAAUUAUGAUAGGAAAUGGGAUAAUGAACGAUCCUACCGAUGAGAAAGGAAGUAUCGAUUAUCUCUGGAACCACGCGUUGAUUUCGGAUGAAACUUAUCGAGGACUUUUAGAUCACUGCUGGAAAUCGAAGAACACUAAAAUUUGCGAAGAUUACGAAGGAAGAGUUGAGAUGGAGGUCGGAAACAUCGAUUUCUACAACAUAUAUAGUGCAGUGUGUUCACAUAAUUCCUCAAAUUCAUCAGCAAGAAAGAAGGCAAUAGGGUUUGGAGGGUAUGAUCCUUGUGAAGGAGACUAUGUUCAUAUGUAUCUCAAUCUCCCUCAAGUGCAACAUGCUUUCCAUGCCAAUAUCACCAAGUUGUCUUAUACUUGGGAGCUUUGCAGUGAGGUAAUCCGUUCUUGGAAGGAUAGCCCAUCAACCAUGUUCCCCAUAUACAGAAGGCUCAUUGCAGCUGGUCUUCGGAUACUUCUUUACAGUGACAAAAAUUGUUCUGAACAGUGGAGAUACAGAUGCAGUUGUUCCAGUAUCCGGCACUCGAUAUGCCGUUGAUGCAUUAAACCUUACAGUCACCAAGCCUUGGCAUCCUUGGUCCGAUGAUGCAGAUGAAGUAUCUGGUUACACAGUGGUUUAUGAAGGAUUAACGUUCACCACAGUUCGAGGAGCUGGUCAUCAAGUUCCUCAAUGUCAGCCGUGUAGAGCUUUCGCUUUGUUUAAGAAUUUUGUAAUGGGAAAUUAGUGCUCUAACAUUUUGGCAAUGUAACGUCUAGUGGCAAUCAGAUAAAUUUCUUGUUACAAUAAAGAAGGGUUGUAGUGCACCGGCAGCAAUCAA